rnacentral:lncRNA from 1 species
GCAUCUCUGCAGACCAUGAUUCAGUACGACAUCUGAAAUGAUGAAAAAGAUGUACAUUUAAAAUAUGUGCAACAAUACUACAGGACUACAAAUGAUAGAUAACCUCCAAAGUUGAAAGGCAACGGGAUGAGAUUAAAGGAAGAAACCACAAGCCAAAAAUAUGACAGGAAGGACUGUGGCCAUGAGAUGUGUGGUUGGAGAACCACAAUGAAAAGAUCUGGGCAAUUUAC